CAGUAGCCGCGGUAAUACGAAGGGGGCUAGCGUUGCUCGGAAUGACUGGGCGUAAAGGGCGCGUAGGCGGUUCGUACAGUCAGAUGUGAAAUUCCUGGGCUUAACCUGGGGGCUGCAUUUGAUACGUGCGGGCUUGAGUGGGGAAGAGGGUCGUGGAAUUCCCAGUGUAGAGGUGAAAUUCGUAGAUAUUGGGAAGAACACCGGUGGCGAAGGCGGCGACCUGGUCCUUGACUGACGCUGAGGCGCGAAAGCGUGGGGAGCAAACAGGAUUAGAUACCCCCGUAGUCCCUGUCUCUUAUAC
rnacentral:rRNA from 1 species